rfam:Triticum aestivum genome assembly, contig: Triticum_aestivum_CS42_TGACv1_scaffold_212508_3AS
UAAAUACUACCUCCAUCCCGAAAUUCUUGUCUUAGAUUUGUUAGAUACGCAUGUAUCUAAUACUAAAAUGUGAUUUGAUACAUUGUAUUUAGACAAAUCUAGGACAAGAAUUUUUGGACGGAGGGAGUAGCAA